rnacentral:sRNA from 1 species
GAUAGAUAGAUAGAUAGAUAGAUAGAUAGAUAGAUAGAUAGAUGUAGACCUAUAGGAAAACGAGUAGUAAAAGUUAAGUUUUAUUUAUA